CACCAAGUGUUGUCUUGCAGGCUUUUGGAAGAGAAGUUGCUGGGCACCUCUAGGCAGUAACUGAAAUAACUUCUUUCCUUUCUGAGGGUGAUACAGGUGGUCCUUCCUGGUGUGGUACAGCAAGAGUAAAAUUCACUUAUGUAAUCAGCAAAGCUACCUUGCACGUCACACCAGUUCAUGAAACGGUUUCACAAGGGACUGGUGACCAUCCUAAUUGUCUUGACCUUCCAAAGUGCAGAUGAAUUUGGAGACAUGGCCUGUUAUAAUACCACUUCCAUUAAACACUGGAAGCUUGAAUUUUUGAAAAAAAAAAAAUCACACAAACAUACUGCUCCUAAUCCAAACAGAGGGGUUAUGAACUGAACCUUCAAACAGAAACUUUCAAUAUUUGGCUUCUCAGCUCAGUAGC